rnacentral:rRNA from 1 species
CGAUUGAGUUUGAUCAUGGCUCAGGAUGAACGCUGGCGGCGUGCCUAAUACAUGCAAGUCGAGCGCAACUUCUUAUACCGAACCUUCGGGUUCACUUUAAGAGUUGAGCGGCGGACGGGUGAGUAACACGUAGGCAACCUACCCUUAAGACUGGGAUAACUACGGGAAACCGUAGCUAAUACCGGAUAAUACCUUUACUCAAAAGAGUAAAGAUUGAAAGAUGGAUUUUCUAUCACUUAAGGAUGGGCCUGCGGCGCAUUAGCUAGUUGGUGAGGUAGUAGCUCACCAAGGCGACGAUGCGUAGCCGACCUGAGAGGGUGAUCGGCCACACUGGGACUGAGACACGGCCCAGACUCCUACGGGAGGCAGCAGUAGGGAAUCUUCCGCAAUGGACGAAAGUCUGACGGAGCAACGCCGCGUGUGUGAUGAAGGAUUUCGGUUCGUAAAGCACUGUUGUUAAGGAAGAAUAGUAGUAAGAGUAACUGUUUACUAAUUGACGGUACUUAACCAGAAAGCCACGGCUAACUACGUGCCAGCAGCCGCGGUAAUACGUAGGUGGCAAGCGUUAUCCGGAAUUAUUGGGCGUAAAGCGCGCGUAGGCGGUUUCUUAAGUCUGAUGUGAAAGCCCACGGCUCAACCGUGGAGGGUCAUUGGAAACUGGGGAACUUGAGUGCAGAAGAGGAGAGUGGAAUUCCAUGUGUAGCGGUGAAAUGCGCAGAGAUAUGGAGGAACACCAGUGGCGAAGGCGGCUCUCUGGUCUGUAACUGACGCUGAUGUGCGAAAGCGUGGGGAUCAAACAGGAUUAGAUACCCUGGUAGUCCACGCCGUAAACGAUGAGUGCUAAGUGUUA